rnacentral:rRNA from 1 species
AGCAAACAGGAUUAGAUACCCUGGUAGUCCACGCCGUAAACGAUGUCGACUUGGAGGUUGUGCCCUUGAGGCGUGGCUUCCGGAGCUAACGCGUUAAGUCGACCGCCUGGGGAGUACGGCCGCAAGGUUAAAACUCAAAUGAAUUGACGGGGGCCCGCACAAGCGGUGGAGCAUGUGGUUUAAUUCGAUGCAACGCGAAGAACCUUACCUGGUCUUGACAUCCACGGAAGUUUUCAGAGAUGAGAAUGUGCCUUCGGGAACUGUGAGACAGGUGCUGCAUGGCUGUCGUCAGCUCGUGUUGUGAAAUGUUGGGUUAAGUCCCGCAACGAGCGCAACCCUUAUCCUUUGUUGCCAGCGGUUAGGCCGGGAACUCAAAGGAGACUGCCAGUGAUAAACUGGAGGAAGGUGGGGAUGACGUCAAGUCAUCAUGGCCCUUACGACCAGGGCUACACACGUGCUACAAUGGCAUAUACAAAGAGAAGCGACCUCGCGAGAGCAAGCGGACCUCAUAAAGUAUGUCGUAGUCCGGAUUGGAGUCUGCAACUCGACUCCAUGAAGUCGGAAUCGCUAGUAAUCGUGGAUCAGAAUGCCACGGUGAAUACGUUCCCGGGCCUUGUACACACCGCCCGUCACACCAUGGGAGUGGGUUGCAAAAGAAGUAGGUAGCUUAACCUUCGGGAGGGCGCUUACCACUUUGUGAUUCAUGACUGGGGUGAAGUCGUAACAAGGUAACCGUAGGGGAACCUGCGGUUGGAUCACCU